rnacentral:misc_RNA from 1 species
UCGAGUUUUGAACGGGUUGUAGCUGGCCUUUAUGGGCAUGUGCACGCCUGGCUCAUCCACUCUUAACCCCUGUGCACCACAUGUAAGAACGAACGGCGAAAGUCUUAGUUCUUAUGUUUAUUACAAACGCUUCAGUUUUAGAAUGUUUACUGUGUAUAACACAAAUAUA